ACUUCUAUACUGAGCUUUGGCUUCAACACUGGGCCAGAGUCAACUCAUGCACGUCCUUCCUUUUCCUACAUCUCUCUCACCUUCUCUCACCCCCAGGAAAGUACUGUUGUUUGGGAUAUAAAACCAUAAGGAGCCAGCCCACCUCAGAGCAUUGUGGCCUGGGAGACACUACACGACUCUAAGUACAUGAGAACGGGAAGGAGCUCACAGAGUUAAUAUAUUCUCUCUGUUGUUUAGACGACAAAGAGUUGGCCCGUUCUCUCUACAUGACAUAUUGAGAUGGGUUUUUUUUUUGUUUGUUUGUUUGUUUUGUUAAAUCCACUUUUAAGAUAGUGAUGUUCUGUUCUAAACUGUUCUCUUUUAGUAAAGGUAGAGUUUAGGAAACAAGCAUGGGGAUUCUUUUCUAAGUUAAUAAGGAGGAGAAAACAGUGAUUAUCUUCAAGAGCUUUUUGUGGAAGCCUGUGGUAGCACAUCCUGUUUAUGAUUGCACAUGUGCACAUAAUCUAUUAUGAUCUAAUGCAAAUACAGCUCCCAAAACAUUAAAUGUACAUACAUAUAUUUUAAUUGCCUGGGGAAAUGUUUUUCUUAAUAAACUAAAGAUGAUCCAUAUUGCUAUCAAAAUAAAUAUUACCCUCUUGCCUUGUGGCUGUAAAACAUCACAAAGUGACCUGUCUUGAGACUUUUGUACUGUCUGCCUACCUAGUUAACAAACAUUAACAUCUUUUAUAAGUGGGAAUAUCUGCCCUCUGGAGGUGGAACUAUGGAGAGACUAUGCUGGUAGUCUGGUGGUCAUGCUGUCUCUAGGCCAUAGUCCAGCCUCUUACCCAUACUUGAGAUCAAUUACACUCUUUGGGUUGAGGGCUGCACCAAAAAAUACUAUGUGACAUCUUUGUUUAGCUGGUAGGUUAAAGGCUUUCUGACUUUGCUAGAUAAGUGGGGCUGAGGAACUGUACACCUUGAAUAUGAAACUAAAUGUACUAACCAAAGAAACGUACGGUUAAGUGUACCAGGCUACUGAGUAUUAACUAACAGUUAAUGGUGGUUAGAAAUAGACGCAUGGAGAGCAGAGCUCUCAUUGAUUUGGCCAGUGCUAAGAUAUAUUGGCUUCUUGCAGGGUGUUUCCUUGUGGUUGUUGCUUGCUAGUUCGGAGUGUUCUCAUGUGUUUCUGAUCAUAGUGCAACAGUUUCUCAAGCAUUUCCCACUUACAUAGAUUCAUUGGGCCCUCUGGAAGAUGCCAGGGCAGAGAUGUACCAAGGCAGGGAUGAAGAAGAGGUAAAAAUCCACAACAAUCCACCUAGUUCAAUGGAUAAAGUAUGCUCACAUAUUCUCUCAAAAGAAAUGUUAGCAUGGUGAGCUUAUGCUGUCCUGCACCCGAGCAAAGCAAGGAUAACAACCAUAAAAAACAAUGCUUAACCUUUCUCAGACCCACAAGUCCCAAACCUGGAUCCCAGUUUUAUCCCAUAAUUUCUUCAAUACAACAACUGCAAAGUAGAACUCUUUCUUUCUGCGCCUCAGGUUCCUCAGCUGUAAAAUGGAAAGUAUAUUAAUAAUAAUAAUAAUAUUAAAAAUAAUAAUGGUAAUGUAGUACUUGUUUGUAACGCACUUUGAGAUCCUUGGUUGGAGGGCACCAUAAGAGUGUCAAGUAUUAUUAUGUGGCCAAGGGGGUUAUUUAAAACUCUGGUUCCCACGGGCCGAGAAAGUUUGGCAUCAUUUUUAUUAAAGAUGAGCUGUAAAUAUCUUUUCUAAGCAGCCUAUAGUGUUGGCUAUGAAGAGGCAAGACUAUAACCAGGCUGAUAAGACCAUAGUUUUUUAAUGGCUACCAAAAAGGCACGUGUCACAAUAACAAAUGCUGAAUUCUUUAGGGUGUAAUAUUUGACAACAUGAUUGAUCUGGGGGAGGGGAUGGGUGGAAAAAAACAUCUCAAAAUGCCAAUGUAAAACUAACAGCAAUAUUCACCAGCAGAAAAUGUCUUUCAUAUGGAAUGAUUUCAUGUUGAUAAGAAAAAGCAUUCAAUUUGUAGUCCUGAUUUGAACACCAGACUGUGGGGUAUAAUAGUUCUGUUUUUACAACACAUGGAAUUUUUUUUUCAUUUUAUUUCAUUUUGUUUUCAUAGUGCAUGUUCAUUUCGACUCACAACAUGUUCUUGGUGUAUUUCUUAUGCAAACAAUCUUCAGGCAGCAAAGAUGUCUGUUACAUCUAAACUUGAAUAAUAAAGUUUUACCACCAGUUAUCCAUGACGGCUUUGGUAUGGUUUAUAUGGAUCUACGUUCAUCCAGGCAGCAACAGAAGCUACGGAUCCUUAACAUAUCAAUGAGCUCUGAACUUAAAUAAUAAAACUGAAACCAGGUCACCUAUUAAAAAAAAAGUCACUAAGAUGUACUAAGCUGGAUUCUUUUCAACUUGAUUUUUCAUUAACCAAUCUGUUACAGGUAGAUUUUUCUGCUAAAAAAAAAUUAUACUAUAUUUUUAGGAAGGUUAAUGAUACUCUUGUUUAUUUCAAAAGGAUUCUGAACAUCAGACUUUGAGUGUUGCAUAUUGAUCUGCUAAUAAUACCUUUCAGUGUGUAAAUACUUCCUUUUAAGAACUAUAACUUUGAUUCUAUUCAGUAUCCCCAUGUGCAUGUGAAAUGAAGAUCCUGAUAAAUAUCGCAAAUUAAAUUCGUAUUUUAAAACC
rnacentral:lncRNA from 1 species